GACAGAGGGUGCAAGCGUUGUUCGGAUUUACUGGGCGUAAAGCGCGUGUAGGCGGCUUGGCAAGUCGGAUGUGAAAGCCCACGGCUCAACCGUGGAACCGCAUCCGAAACUGCUUCGCUCGAGUCUCGGAGAGGAAGGUGGAAUGCUUGGUGUAGAGGUGAAAUUCGUAGAUAUCAAGCAGAACACCUGCGGCGAAGGCGGCCUUCUGGACGAUGACUGACGCUGAGACGCGAAAGCGUGGGGAGCAAACAGG
rnacentral:rRNA from 1 species